GCCGGGAUAGCUCAGCUGGGAGAGCAGUAGACUGAAGCUAUUGACAAAGCAUAUUUCUAACGGUCGCGUGUUCAAUUCACGCUCCUGGCA